GCAAGUCGAACGAACAAAGCUGGAGCUUGCUUCAGCUGCGUGAGUGGCAAACGGGUGAGUAACACGUGGGAAUCUACCCAUCAGUACGGAAUAACAUUUGGAAACAGAUGCUAAUACCUUAUAUCCUCUACGGAGGAAAGAUUUAUCGCUGAUGGAUGAGCCCGCGCAAGAUUAGGUAGUUGGUGGGGUAAUGGCCUACCAAGACGAUGAUGCAUAGCCGACCUGAGAGGGUGAUC
rnacentral:rRNA from 1 species